rnacentral:rRNA from 1 species
AUUGAACGCUGGCGGCAGGCCUAACACAUGCAAGUCGAACGGUAACAGGAAGAAGCUUGCUUCUUUGCUGACGAGUGGCGGACGGGUGAGUAAUGUCUGGGAAACUGCCUGAUGGAGGGGGAUAACUACUGGAAACGGUAGCUAAUACCGCAUAAUGUCGCAAGAUCAAAGAGGGGGACCUUCGGGCCUCUUGCCAUCGGAUGUGCCCAGAUGGGAUUAGCUGGUAGGUGGGGUAACGGCUCACCUAGGCGACGAUCCCUAGCUGGUCUGAGAGGAUGACCAGCCAACCUGGAACUGAGACACGGUCCAAAAUCCUACAGGAAGCAGCAGUGGGGAAUAUUGCACAAUGGGUGCAAGCCAGAUGCAGCUAUGCCGCGUGUAUGAAGAAGGCCUUCGGGUUGUAAAGUACUUUCAGCGGGGAGGAAGGGAGUAAAGUUAAUACCUUUACUCAUUGACGUUACCAGCAGAAGAAGCACCGGCUAACUCCGUG